rnacentral:lncRNA from 1 species
UCACUGUCUGAGAUGUUUUCAGUUAAACUCUCAUCACCUGCUUGCAUCAGAUCUGCCUUCAUUUCAUAAAAUCCAUAUGGGUAAAUACUUUUUUCUUCCUUUCUGAAGGUGGGCACUAUUUGUAGAAAGACCUUGUAAUUGGCCUAACUCUCUUCUCUCAUUCUUUGUCUCAGAUGAAGAAGAAUCACUUCAAGCGGUCAACGGGAUUUUGGAUCAGGCUUGCUGGGCGUAUUGCAGCAGAAUCUUGAAGGGAGCAGCUGAAUGUUGGAGAAGCCUCGAGAGAAUGUUGCAGAGAUUUUUUUGGGUUUAUUGUUUUAAAUCUUUUACUCUGAUCUGUUGUACCUGUUGUGUGUUGGAUAAGCUUGAAGAUUACUUAGAUCACAAGUAAUGAUUAUCCUAAUGAUUUUAGAAAAUAUUGUGU